AUUUCCUCCCAGCUGUAUAUAUGAAGAAUUUAGAAGUGACACAUGUAGUUUUCAACAGACUUUUCAACAGUUUUUCUUAAUCAAAAAAGAAGAAAGGCAAAACAUCCACCCUCUGUCUUUUGGGAAGAUCACAGCAGCAGCAGGAGGAACUUGUUUAAGUCUCUCCAUGUCUCUUAUCAACAAACCAGAGAGCAUACAACAAAUCCUGUUAGAAGAAGAAACAAAUUAGAUUCAAGCUCAGAAGGACAUUCAUCUUCACACACACUUCAGGAUCAUUCUUCUCUUUCAGUAGAAGUUUAAAGAAUUCAUUUAGUGGAAAGCAAACCCUUGGCUGAGGACAGCCGGUUAACAGCUUGGAGGAGUCAGUUUAUCUGAAUAUGAGGCUUUCCUUUCAAAAAGUUCUUAUGCAUGCAUGAUUGAAGCAAUAAAAAGCAUGCAGCAUUCACCUAAGUAUUUAACAAAACACGAAAUGUAAGGAAGCCCUGUUAGGAAGCCGUACAGUCAAUGUUUGGGUCAGCCACUGCUCUUCCUUCAGAAGACAGGCAUAGUUGGAAGAGCAUAGCUGGACACACAAUUCUGCUGUUCAGGACAACUGAAGCUGGGCAAAGUUGCCUGUAUGGAGCAUCACUGGACCCAGACAAGGCACAGUACAGAAAAAGUUCACUGCAGUUCUUCGAGUUCAAGAAGUUGUUCAGAAGUGUUUAUGUGCAAUAUCACUCACUUUCGGUGUGAUAACCUGUUUCAUAAGCAAUGAAAGGAAAUUUGUCUAAGGUCAACCGCAAUUAAAUUUACCACCUUUUGUUCUAUAUUAACUUGUCAGUCUCUCUUUUUCAACAUGCACUGCACACCCGAGAUUUCAUUAAACAAGGUUGAAUAUGAGAUUCGUGAUGUUGGAAAUUUACAGAUUUUUUUUCAAUCUUACUCUAACAUAUAAAAGUACCUGUGUGGAUUCCAAGCACAGCAAGAAAGAAAAUGCAGCUCUAAUUGAUUUGAAGCUCUUCAGUCACAAAUUCUUUUUUAAGACUAGAAAAUUGACAGAAAAACAUCCAUGAUGUAAGAACAGACUAUGGAGCAGGCCAUUCAGAAGCUAUUUGAAAUAGUUUAGUCACCUGAACAGAAUUUUGGACUAAUAUCCCUAUUGUGCUGUUUUUUUUUUCCACACUGUUAUCAUACUCCAGCAUAUAUGGCAAUGUGGAAGAAACCUGAAUAGAAAUUAAAUAAUGUUUUGGUGCUUGGUUUCAAGAGAAGAGGGUAGAUUUCAAAUACCUUAGGCAGAUUAUAUGCUGCAUAAGUAGUUAAAGAGCAUAACUUCAGAUACCUUCAGGGUAUUGUAUCUGGAAAGCAAAGCAAUAGCUGUGUUACCAGCCCCACUAUAAGAGCUUGUUCCUUUGCAAGCUGCAGCUCUUCAGAAGUUAAUAGGCCUAUCCAUGUGAAAGAAAUUUGCAAGACUGAACCUUUAGACCCCCAAAUCUGAUAACACUUACAGCUCCCAAUGACUUUACAUAUGGGAAUGGUCCUCUUGAUCUCAUCCCAAAGUUCUCAGCAGACUGCACAGGAAAAAGUCCAAUGGAGUCACUCUUCAAGUCAUUCAAGCACAUAAGUGUAUUCAAGAUGAAUGCAUUGUUUUGCAGUCCAGGAAAUGUCACCAGCUGACCUUCUAUAUAAACUUCCUAGGAGCUUCAAUAUUCCUUUGUCUAUGCAAUUAAUCUAGUAAAGUGUAGAAUUUCUAUUUUUUAUGCAAGAAUAAUUCCCACUGUAUAGUCCCAGAUGUUUGCCUGGAUAUAAUUUUAACAUUGUGUAUCUUAUUCCAUGCCUUUGAUUAAAUUUGUAAUGCGUUUAAAAUAUCAGUGUGUCCAAUCAAGUGUAAAGAGACAUGUGAAAAUGAAGUGAUUCAUGUGAUGGGAAUUAAAUCUAACACUGACUUGUCACCUAUACUUUUAGGGAUGGUUUUCAUUUACAACUUGUGCAAAUAUGUGCUUCUGACACACAUUGCCAGCAAGUCAAAGAGACUAGAAAACACAUAUUGUACACUCAUUAAAUGUAGAUUCAGACUGCAGAAAUCUUAUAAUACAUAUUUCUGAACAAAUAUCUUCAGUUCUGUGUUUGGGGCAUAACCAUUCUUUCCUUCUUGACAAGUGCGGAAAUGCAUAAAACUAGUACUUUACUUCAAGGAUUUUGUAGAAAUAUCACAAUUAAAACCUGCAAAACUCCUUUACUGUGAAGAUUAAUUUGGCAGUAGACGAAACAAUACCUUGCAUAAGUCUUUCUUUCCAAAGCGUCUUCAUGCCAACACUCUUAAGUGAAUUUUAAGAGAGGAAAAUCCUUUGCUAAAUUCAGGACUGGGUAAAUACAGAGAGUGGGCCAAACCUUAAACUGCUAUAAGUUAGCAGCAACAGAACAAGGGAGAUGUCAGUGAAACAGCGUUAAAGUAUACCAGCUAAACACAUAAUUCAGUAUCUAAGGAAAAUGAGCUAGAAUGACAUGGGCAGGAAUUGCCCUAGAUACACAAAAGAAUUAUAGCAGAAUAAAACCUAUAUAUACACCAAUAUCUAGCCCUCUCGUGUGACAGCAGCCCCAAACAAAAAAUUGCAUCCAAAGUUAAGCCAUAGGAUGGGUGAAGGGGAGGACGCUUUAGGGGGUGUCAUGACUGUGUGUGCGUUCUGCACCGUUGGACGCUGGCCUGGGUUCUUCACUUCCUUUACACCACUGUAUUAGGAAUGGUCGAGAAAAAAAAAAAAAACCACUUACUAGAGAGCUGCCAGAUGAAUAGCCCAAGAAACUUCAGUGUCAGCUUCUGAAAUUGCCUCUGGUGCUAUACUUCCCCUUGCGGCCAUGGAGGGACGGCCCCGAGUCUGGUCACUUCUCGGGACUGGGCUCCUCUUCUGAGACCGUCAAGGAAGACUCAGACAGUGGAAAUAGUGGUCAAGCCAUCUGGCCACUAGGAUGGCAUCAUCCACCCUCUCUCUGAAGGCAAGUAGGAAGCGAUAAUAUCUAUUUUGAUUAGCAGAGAAAAGAAGGGGGAAUAAAGAACUGGGAUGAAAGACCAGAUGCUUGAUUAACUUAAAUUAACGCUGACAUAUACAAGCUGUCCCAGGCUCCAUCUCUUCUCAGGUUUAUUUGCAUAUGCUAUCUUCAUCACAGGUAACAUAAUAGAAAGUACUACAAUACUGAUGACCAUAAAAGGCCUGAAAACAAACAAUCAAACAUUUACAAAUCGUCUAUUUGAAAUGCCAUGUUGGAGAGGUGGAGCCUCUAAAUGACCUUUGCAGUCAUCUUUGAUGCUGCUAGUAGGGUAAAUUAGUAACAGAAACAACUUUAAAUUACUAAAAACACAGCACGUUUUGUAUAUAGCUUUUGAGGCUGAUGGGAACUAAGUUACACAAAUAAUUCUCAUACUUGUCAUCUUUCAAGGAACAGCCAUUUUGAUAAUUCUCAGAAAUGCCUUCUCUGACAUCCAUGUCACAGAAAUCCUAGAUUGCACAACACCUUUUGUACAAGUCUGUUCAUUUGAACAAUAUACUAAGUAAAAAUUGAACACAAACUUUACCUGAGUUUGCCACUUCUGGAUUUGAGUUAGGUUUAAUUAUGCAUUCUGUCCUGAAAUAAAGGGCUUCACAAAGAGGCAGGAAGGAGAAGCAAGACUCCAAAAAUAAUUACGCUGAAAGUAAUUUUCUGUUUUACUUUGUUAUUACUAUGACUGUAUUUGCUUGAUCACAAGCUUUUCCUCUUCUCAAACCCAAGUUGUCUUCAUCUUAAUAAAGUCAUAAGUAUGUGUUUACAA